CAUAUGCUUCAUACCAAAUAGCAUAAACAUGCCAGUAAAUGAUACGAAAGGAACAUUGGGAGUUAGUAAUAAAUGAUUUAGUUUGGUGUUGGCUUCAGGUUCAGGUAGGGGGUGUGGCCUACAGUUUGAAUAUAUUAGAAUUCGGAUGAUAAUAAUAAACUUCAAAUAUGAUUUAUUAUUUUUAUAUUAAAUGCUUAUGUCUAAAUAGUUUUAAGACAAAUGGCAUCUUUUGAGGUUAAUGUGUGACUAGCCUCAACGUGUGACUAGCUACAUUAGCCUUGUAGCUCCAGUAAUAGCUAAAAAAAAGCAAGCUUCAGACACUAAACAUGCCUUGGUGAGUGACUAUAUUUGGCGUAUUUGACCCAAAUAUUCCUUUAAGACGGUGAACAUGUCUCAUCUGCAUUCUACAGCUCCAUUUUUGACAUAUUGAAUAAUAUUUCAUAUGAUGAUUCCAAGUUCAAAUUCAACUCCAACUGGAGCUUUCAAAGCAAAGCUUAAGUAAAAGCAUUAUAAAACACUUUUAAAAGCAUUUGUGUAGCUCAUUUCAUCAAGUUUUUCCUACUCAACAGAACGAUGACUUUGCUGUCUGAAGUGUUUAAAAGCACCGUUUAUAAAGGAUCAGUCUAAACUCUGUCGAUCGGGUUGGGUUUCAACAGCAUGCUUUAUUUGAAGUGGUGCUACAUAAAUGUCUUAAUCCACUAUUUACUGCGCAGAUUGUACGUGUGACAGCAUCAUGGUGGUUGCAGUGCAUUAUGGGAUCUCUAUUUAUCUGAGAAAUGCAUGUUUGAUUCCACUAUUAGGCAAAUAAUACGCAUAAGAUAUCUGCUUUCAUCUGAAAGUCUCAGCUUGUGUGUGGAAUUGUGCUCAGCAAAUAUUUGUACUUGAUAUAUAAGGGUUCUGUGUAUACUCAGUUUUGGGGAAAAAAAUAAAUAAGAAAUUGUGUAUUUUGCGAAUUUAUUAAUUCAGUAUAUUUUUAUAUCGUAAAAUAUUUACCUAAGAUAAAAAAAGAGGAAAUAGGUUUGCUAACAAACUUCCUUUAGUGAAAAUGUGGUGAUACUGAAAAUAGAAAAACAAAAAUAUAUAAAAUAUAGCUUGUUAAAUGUUAUAAAAAUACAGAAAAAAACAGGAGAUUAUACCAUACACCUGAAAAUAUAGCUGCAAGCAGUGACUGUAAGGGGGCCAAGCACUAAUUUAAGUUUUGUGAAAUGCUGUAAGUGGCCCUUAUUCCUUAUAAGCACCAUAUCUGAACCUUUCUCAUUGUACUGUCUUGAGUGUUUUUUAAGUUUGGAACAAUCAGAAAAACUUGCAGGAGUAACAAUGAAAAUAGAGAUUUUUUUUCCCCCCUUUAAUGACAAUCUGGUUAUAAAAAAUAUAAAAAUGACAGAAAGCUUAGUGCUACAAAGUGUAGCUUGUUGUAGCAAAUGUUUUAAAAACACAUGAAAAUAAAGGAGAUUAUCUACCAGAAAAUCCAGCUAAAUGUAGUGAUCAGUGUCGUGGAAAUCCAUCUAUAAAAAUGUGAGGAGACAGAACUCAGGCAAAAGACGUAUUACUCACGCCCUUCUGCGCCUUUUAGACAAAAGCAAGAUCUAAAAAUGCUAACGAGACUAAAUAGAUGAUAAGUAGAUCAGUCUGGGUUUCUCUGUCCUUCAUAAAUAGAAGUAGAAACAGAAAUGAGAAGUCUGGGUCAUUGUGAUCCCACAGGGUUAAAAGUAGAGUAGCAGGAACAGAACAGCACUCACGGUCCUUGAUUCAAAUAAUAGUUAUAAUCGUGCUUUAUUUAUGACCACUAUGACCAGCACUAUUAUGUACACAUACAUAAAUCAAAUACUGUAUGGACUGUACAGAUAAAAUAUAUACAUACCUGGCAAAGUUCAACAUAACGAUUUAUGUCAUUUGUCUUCAUCAUUAUUUCGCUGUUUUUGUUUCAACAGAAUUUUGCUCCUGUUGUAGCGCCCCCUAGAGGACACUUCCAACACUCCUUGUGAAAGUAUAUUACAAAUUUGGUGACAUCAACUUAGCUACAAUUGAGCUUCAGUAAUUUGAGCUAUAUUGACGUAAAUAUCAGGCUGAUGGAGCAUCGUCUUCUUAGCCUAGAGCACUGAGACUGUCUGAAUGAACAUCCUCUGCCCUUGUUUAACUCCACCAUCUGCCGUUUUUUUUUUUAAAACACAUAAGAGAAGCAGUUUCCCCACUGAAACAGCUAUUUUGCAGAACAGAAAGACAUCUAAUCUAGUGCUAUGUUUAGCUUAGGACCUUGCAAAAUCUUGGUGGAAUAUCAUCAAACAUUCACUUUUCUUACCUGUAACAGUGGAAUGAACCAGAUAUUUAUUGUUGUAGGAAACCCCAGUUAACCUAAAAUUAUUAAAAAGAAAACUGAAACUAGCUAGCUAGUUAGCUAACCACUGUUAGAGGUCCUGAAUAAAAAUUUGAAAUUUUAUAAAUAAUAAAUUAUUCAAGGUCACAAGCUAAUUUAAAUUGAUAAUGUAUGGAGCACUUUUUCUGGUUCUAGCCAACAUGCUAUAGAUGCAUGUGUUAUAGAUGCACUGCAUGAUGCCAUUGCUCGCAUACUGUCACUAUGUUUAAAAUCUAAACACAGCAGUAAUAAUAUAAAAGUUAUGUCCAAGGCUUAAAUUCACUGUGAGCAAAAGCAUGGUCUCUUCUUCAACCUGGCUGCUGGGAUCAUUUUUUUUAAAAAUGAUCAUUUUAUAUGUAGUUAUCUUCAUAAAGAUUGCUCUGCUGAGUUUAUGGAUAAUUACUUAUGAGUCAAAAAAAUAGUUACAGCAAAUUUGAAAGAGCAACUGAAGGAGCGCUCAUUCAUAAUUUCUGUAACUUCUUUUUGAGAGUUAAUACAAUACAAACUUGAGUAAAAAGGAGCAAUGUGAAGACUAAACAGCUCAAAUUUCCUCACCAUAACAGUCUAACAUUGUAUAACACUGAAGAGAUAUGGGGCUCUCCAUGGCCUUGAAAAGACAAGCUUGCUAUGAUUACAGCCUCAUGAGGGAGUUUAACUUGUGCACACAGAGAAAAGGCUCCAUUUAUCUUGCAUGCCCCUGCAACAGCUGGAACAGCAGAGAGAGAUAGCAGGCUGGGUUCAAUUCAGUUCAAUUCAAUUCAAUUUUAUUUGUAUAGCGCUUUUAACAAUGAACAUUGUCUCAAAGCAGCUUUACAGAACAUAAGAAACAAAAAGCAUGCAAACAGAAACAAAAACAUGCAAACAGUCCUAGAUGUUAGACAGAAUUAUUAUUAUCCCUAGUGAGCAAGUCUGAGGCGACUGAGAUGACCGUGGUGAGGAAAAACUCCCUUAGAUGAUAUGAGGAAGAAACCUUGAGAGGAACCAGACUCCAAAGGGAACACAUCCUCAUUUGGGAUAUUGGCAUAUAAAUGACCUUAUAGCUCAGAAAUGUGAUCUAGUGCAACAUGUUGUUCUUUUCCAACCUCGUCUUUCCUGGUCUGCUUGGCCCCAUGGUACAAAUGUAUCCCAGCGACUAGGACAAACCUCCAGUUGUUCCACUUUGGAGCCCCAAAAUUGAAGGUUUGGCAGCACAGACUAGUCACAUGACCAGUCAUGUCCUCAUCUGCUAUGUGGGGUGGAAAAGAACUUUACGAACUCUAAAUAUCAUCAUCCAUGGAAGACACAGGAUAUCACCUCCUCCUCACUACAAACAGGGGAGCAAGUAAAGAAGCAAAUCUCUGUGUGUUUUUGUUUGGUUCUUCCGCAGGGGUGUAGUGGACGCUCGGGGCCAUGAGAGAAGCCUCCUGCACGUUCACAGGAAAGUUUGCCGCACAUCUUUUUUAGAUCUAGUUAGAUCUUAGCCUCUAACUGACCAUCACAAAUCUCUGAGGGGAAAAAAAAAACAUGAUUAUUUUGAACUGACUGAACGGCAAACCGACCAAUCACAGUUAAGCUUCAGGAGACUGAAUCAGAACAAAUGCAUGACAAGAAGUUAUCAUUUUAAGGGAGUGAAUUUGCUAAAUUAGCUUGCAGACUGGACUUGACAAGAUGAUAUGAACAUGUAGAAUUUGAUUAUUUUCAGGUAUAAAUUGAUUUUACCUCGGGAUGGCUUAUAUCACGCCUCAAUACACUGAUUGCUACAAGCUUAACUGCACUGUAAGGCAGCUCCUUUAUUAGCUAGAGUUAAUAAAUGACAAUAUUGAACCUAUGAAUGUACUUAUGUAUUCUCAUUACUUUUUUGUCAGCAGAUCCCAGCCAUGGACUUCAGGAAGAAGCAAAGGAUGAUUACGUAUUUCUUAUAAACAGCCUACUAAGCAGAACUGUCCACGCCGUCAACUGGUCAAAGUGUAAAACUGUAGAAUAGGUGAAAUAUAUUCAAGCCCUUUGGGAUUUGGGAUUCUCCCUGCUUGUGGAUGUCACGGCUGUUGUGAUCUUUUUUUGUGCUUUCUUGCACUCAUUUAAUUUCAACAUCAUGCGAGGAAGAGGAGAGAAACUAGACCCCAGCCAAGGCUGGCCUCUAGCUCUGGUACAGCCAACUAUCAUGGAGUUUCAGCUGUGUAUUCCAUACAUGGAAGAAGAAUUUGGAAAGAGGCUAUGAUGUUGCAUAACACUUAUAAUGACUAUAAGAGAAGAAUCUGUCCUGUGGCUCCUUGGAGUGCAUGUUCUGGAGCUGCAGACCCUGGCUGACUGUGAUAAUAAAGAACUUGAACUCAAGUGUUGGUCCAUGUUCUCUGUGUUGGCAUGUUCAUCACAAAAGGUGAAACCCAAAAGGGUUGGCAAUGAUCAGCCGUUGAUUUUGACAGGUAUAGUUCUAAAAGUAAAAAAAAAGCAUUAACAGCAAAAAUGGCUUGAAAAUAAAGUAAAUAUUUAAACUAGUCAAGUGAAGUCUCUUAGCUCAGGUAUAGAUGCCUUUUUAAGUUGCCUUAAUCGAAACACAGACUGAUGCAUUUCCGUGCUUACACAUUGCACUAUGGUUUCCUGUUGGUUCACCAAAAAGAACAAAUAAGUAUUUAGGUCAGUUGAAUCCAUUUGCAUUGUCUCAUUUAUUUACUGAAAUGGACGUAAAUCCGUCGAAUCUCUAACUAGAUUUAAAUGGGUAUUUUCUGAAUUGGGAAAAAUGUUUUGAUCUAUGACAUUUGGUGACCCCAUGACCAGAGCUGAGGGAACAUAGGUCUCUGGGUUAUUACUGUAUUUGUCUUGAACAAUUCACAGAAGUGUGUCAUAAAAUUUGACUAAAUCAAAUAACAAAGUGCAAGAGAAUAUAAGCCUUAAACUACAAACACGUUAGAUUGUUCAUACAAAAUGAUGUAUGACUGCUUCUUAAGUUAUUACGACUGUCAUGAUGCUACCACCACCAUGCUUCAGUCACUGUGGGGAUGGUGUUCUCAG